rnacentral:rRNA from 1 species
GACGAACGCUGGCGGCGUGCUUAACACAUGCAAGUCGAACGAAGUGGCGAACGGGUGAGUAACGCGUAAUCAACUUGCCAUUCAGCGGGGGACAACAGUUGGAAACGUCGGCUAAUACCCCAUACUGAAGGAGGGGAUUGCGUCUGAUUAGCUAGUUGGGGGGGUAACGGCCAACCAAGGCGAUGAUCAGUAGCCGGCCUGAGAGGGUGAACGGCCACAUUGGGACUGAGACACGGCCCAGACUCCUACGGGAGGCAGCAGUGGGGAAUCUUCCGCAAUGGACGAAAGUCUGACGGAGCAACGCCGCGUGAGUGAUGACGGCCUUCGGGUUGUAAAGCUCUGUUAAUCGGGACGCGGUACCGGAAUAGAAAGCCACGGCUAACUACGUGCCAGCAGCCGCGGUAAUUC